CGUCCCAAGGCAGUUUAGUGUGCUUCCACGGAACCGGGCACACAUCACAUGGCGCACACCGUGCCGCACAUAGCGUACAACAAGUUGUAGGCGCUCCAUGGCGUUACACAACUAGCAGCCCAGCAGUAUUGGAAAUUGUUUGUUCAAAUUUUGUUGUUGUGCUUUUUUGUGUGCAGUGUUCGAUUCUCAACGCCGCUGCCGCCGUCGCCGCCGCUGCAGCCAGCCAAGUUCCAUCGGAUGGGCAGCAGGAAAUCCGAUUAUGUGGCAAUUGCCGAUAGUGUGAAACAACAAAGUGCUCCUUGCAACUGCAACUUAGGAUAAACAUCCUCACUGAAGUCGGGUUUCGUUAGCAGCGGGCUGUUUUAAUAAAUUCAACAAGUUCGUUGUCGACGAAACCUGCAUGCUGUGUGGAAAAUCAACGCUCAAGGCCACCCAAAGAUCCACGUUUCUGCAACCCAAUUGUAUACUGUUCACUUUGAAGGGAUUAUGAAAUGGAGGACUUACCGGGCAAGUUAGCUUCAUCGCUCUGAUUCCGGUUGCCUUGAAUCGUCGGAACACGGAAAAUAACUACGUCAGCUUGGCUCCAAAGGAUUUUUGUGUGCAACCAAGGGCGGCAUCUGAAAAUUGAAAAUGGAAAAUGAAUAACUGUGAAUAACUUGUUGUUACUAUAAACUUAAAAUGUUUAGAUCAUGCUUGUAAAUCCAAACCAGUUUAAUAAGGUUUAAUAUUGCCAAUAUACUAUAAACCAAAAAAUCGUUGGAGUUUCAUAACUAUUUAUUUCAUUUUUCUAUAUUUUUGCUUCCAACAGGUAAGUAAAUAAGUUUACUUACCAAAAGGUAAGUAAAGUGUACAUACAUAUGUAUGCAAAAUAUUUCAUCCAUAUUAGCAAUACAAUACAAUAAUACGUUACUUACAUUUACUGAAAAAGAACUGCGAUGACUACAGCAGAGACCAAAAGUAUCCUGAUUUCUUCCCAAGCCCGCCAAGUACGAUACCCACCUAUAUCGAAAUAUAUUCCAGUAUCUUACAGGAGACGAAGUUAUACAUGAUACACGAAGGCAACCCUACGAAUGCAAUCCCACCUAUCGGAAUCCACUGUUUGUAUAUGUUUGUAUAUGAAAUCUACUUUAUAGCUGUAUCAAAUGCUAAUGAAUACUUACAUAGGUUCACGAUUCGUAAUUAAAUAAAUAAAUAAUCGUAGGCUGUUUUGUUCUCUAUAUAUUAUUGGUAAUUUAUUAAAUUUCAUUUACAUUAGUUGGAGACCGAACGAUUGUGUAAAUAUUCAUAGGCUUAUAGGGUUUAGGUUUCGUCUUCAAUGACGUGGGGAUCAUUUUAUUGGCUGACAGUCGAUUAUAAAACAAAAAGGCCAUCGUAAAAUCUAUUUUAAAAGUUUAAGUUAUUGAUACAUUUGUUUUUGCCGACUUAAAUGUUUAAGGUAGCUGUUAACAAUGCUCUUUCUUGCUCGCUAUUAUUCUAUUUGAAUCGUCUGGCUAUUUGCACUAAAUUUUGAUCAAGUUUUGAACAAAGAUUUACGUAUAAGUAAGUGUGUAUGUAUUUUAUGUAUUAAGCCACGCAUAUACUGAAUUCCUGGUACAUACGGAUUUCUUUUAAAACUAAACGAGCAAUUUUGGAUGCCUGCAAUUGAUUUCUACGUUCUUGCAAGUAUUGUGUUUUCGUGUUUGAAAGAAUAUUUCUUAAACUGCAAAUAGAAUUUUUAAUUCGCAGACUAGACUGUUACUAUUUUGGAAUUUUAUUGAUUCGUUAUCCAAGCGAAUUUCUUGAAACGUGGACAAGCGAAGUUUAAGUGUAGGAAGUGUAAACCUAGUUUUUAUUAAAGUUUGUUCUGUGUAUUUAGAUAUUAAGUGUUUAUUAUAUGCUUAAAUCUUUUGGAUAUAUGCACUAAUCUUUUUCAUGAACAAAGUUUUACGUAUAAGUGUGUAUUUCUAUAUAUUAAGUUAUGCAUAUAUUGAUUUCCUGGUAAAUAUCCUGGCUUCCUGGCUUGUUCGUAAACUAAAGAAAAGCCAUCUUUGUUUGGAUGUCCGCAUUGCUAAUUUCCUAAACCCUCUUUUCCAUCAAAAUUGCAAGUUUCGGUGGAAUCAAAAAAAAAAUAUUUGAUGUUUUGUAAAAAAAAGGUGUUUUUGGCUCGAAAAUGUAAAUUUACUAUAAUUAUACUGUUUAUUUCUUUGGUAGUUUAAUAUUCGUUUCGUAAACUUAGUGAAAUAUGCGUAAGCAAUGCCUAGUGGGUUAGCCCAAAUUAUGAUUAUGGUCUUCUUUAUAACGCGUUUAGCCCAGAAAGUCAAUAAUAUAUGGUUCUUGAUCUCAGGAGCACGUAAAACAGAUUCAAUCUUGGCAUCCUGCUGCAUCUGAAAUAUGUUUAGCAUGUUGUGUCUCAGAUAAUUGAUUGCUUACAGUUCUUGAACUCCCGAAACAUCAAAUGUCCUAACUAUUCAUACAAUUGCAAGUGGUAAUAAAAUCUGCUUCGGAUUGCUGCCUUUAGUUCGUACAUAUGUAUGCAGCUGAAUUAGAGAUUCUUCAUGCUAUAUGGUAGUUGGUAUAUGGGUUUGGUCUAGAACAUCAUACGUAGUAGUAGGGACUCGAUGCGGCUUCUUAUCACUGGUUUUGCGGGAUAUAUGUAUAGUAAAACCCGGCAUGUUCUAUAAGCAUCUAAGUGUGUUUUUGAGGACUGCUUUUUGUUUGGAAGAUGUAGAAAUACUUUCCAAGUGUUUUGCAAUUUGAGCAAACUUUUGUUUUGUAUACUUAUUCAUGUAAGUCCAACUUGCAAGUACAAUAUCCAUUUCAAACUGCGAUAUUUACUAUGUCUAUGUCUAUUUCUAUUUAUUCCCAAGCUGGUUUCAAUUAUAUUAUGAAAUAAUGUGAAUGCGAACCGAUAGGCAAACCAACUUAGUAGGUGAAUAGUUAAAGCCAUUCCAUAACAAGAGUUGAGCACUCGACUAGCAUACUAUUGUAAAUGUCUGAUCUUCUUCCAACUAAGUUUAAUUAAAAAAUUCUCAUAGUUAUCAUUGUGUGUUCUUAGAUUGGUAUUCUAAUACGUGUUGAACGUUUAUUAGCUGCUUCUUGAAUAUACCGAUUUGACGACUAGCCUACGUGUUAUAGGGUUUCAUUUAAUGUAUCUUAUCGCAAUAGAAAUUAGUUGACUGAAGUUGGUAUUGUGUAUGCUGCAUCGAGAGCCUAUUGUUUUGUUUUGCAAUUAAAAAUGAUAUUUGAGGAGUCCCAAUGUUAUACCCACCUUUCCAUACGUAUUAAUCUAGUUUGUAAAAUUUCUUACUUGAAAAUCUAAUGUAGACAAGCAUGGUGCAUGCCAUUUAAAAAUUUUUGUUUUCCUAUAUAGUCAUUGAUUAUUAUCUGCUGCUGCUUAUCAUAGAAUAUUUAAGAAUGAAUAAAAUGCAGCUAUGCUGGAAGUACUAGUAAAAUUUAGUAUCACAGUAUUUUAUAUAAGAUCAACUUUGGUUUAUCCAUCAUACGCGGUAUUUUCCAAAUAUUACUUAAGUCAAUUAUAUCGUCAUAUUAUUAUUUAAUCAAGUAAUGGAGAAAAACUCGCAAGUUUUUUUUUUCUUUUACUCAAAUACUAUGCCAAUAUAUUUUUUAGCAUGCGCAGGAAAAAAAAAGGUGUACUUGUAUCACUUAGAACUUAAAGGAAAUCUAUAACUAAAUUUUUACUAUCGACGUAAUUUGAAGAAUACCACUAUUGAAAAUUAUAAAUAAUGUCCUCUCCACAUAGAUUAUAAUUUCACAUUUAAAAAGCCUUGAUGGUUUUCGUAUUAUCAAAUUUCCCAUAAGCUUCAAAAUUCAAUUGCCUACUUCGUGCCGCGCUGAAAAUGUUAACAAUUAACCAUUUUUCAUUUUUAAAACAUAAUCAGCCCAUCAGGUUCACUCGGUAGUGAAGGAUACAAGUUGCGAAGCAAUCAUGUAAAUUAAAUUACUACUAAGAGUAGCAUUAAAUGGACUGUGGGAAAGUCAAAGAAAAUUAAACUUCGAAGUAGUUUGUUAAUUAUAAACGG